AGUGGAAGACUUAAGAUGGCGGCGUUUGCACGGAGUGCAAUCACUGCGUCCUUACGGGGGUUGCAAGGCGUCCGAAGUAUGAGUCCACUAACAAAAGUCCAGAAACUCGCCAGUUAAUAGUAUUGUGGUGAGUGAUGAGCCUCACGUUGGCUAGAGAAGUGGCCGUUAGCGAGGCUACACACUUUGGGAUCGCGUGGCCUGAGUCGGGGGAGUAACCGGCCUGUAUUCCAUUUUUCUCUCUCCAGUCUCUUCAAAAUAUCGGAGAAUAAUUUCUUUCUCGCUGAUCGCCUAACUUCUACUGACGAAGCUUGGAAGUUGCAGAAGAUGGAGUUCGCUCUUGUUGCCCAGGCUGGAAUGCAAUGGCAUGACCUUGGCUCACUGCAACCUCUGCCUCCCCAGUUCAAGUGGUUCUCCUGCCUCAGCCUCCCGAGUAGCUGAGAUUACAGGCUGGAGUGCAGUGGCGCAAUCUCGGCUCUCUGCAACCUUCACCUCCCGUGUUCAAGUGAUUCUCCUGCCUCAGCCUCCUGAAUACCUGAGAUUACAAGCAUGCACCACCACGCCCGUCUAAUUUUGUAUUUUCACUAGAGACGGGGUUUCUCCAUGUUGGUCAGGCUGGUCUCGAACUCCCGACCUCAGGUGAUCCGCCCGCCUCAGCCUCCCAAAGUGCUGGGAUUACAGGCAUGAGCCACCGCGUCCAGCAAGAAUAGGUGAUUUUCAAACUUGGAAACAUUCAGAAGUUAUCGCCUCAGUUUCAGAUUGAGUAGUCUCAAAGAGAUUACAGACAUCUACCACAAAUUCUCUACUUGGUGUGGUGCAAAAUCAGUAUGAUGUAAACUUUGUCUCUCAGUUUCUUCAAAGGAAAGAAGCAACUGGAACACACAUAUAACACUAACCCUUCCAGCUGCAUUAUGAGGGACCAGUACCUGUCUCAAGGCAAAAUUAUGACUUAGUUCAUCCUCACCUCUGGAGGCCAGUAAAAGUGGGUUAUAGAAGAACAAAGAGGCAUCUAGAUCUUUCACUGGGUUAUUUGGAGAGAAACAUCUCCUACCGAAGGCCAGUUUAACAAGACUGGUAGAGGAGGUUAUCUUAUCUAAUUCACAGAAAUCAACACAUUGAGUCAAGAAAAAUGAAACACAGAAACACUCUAAAUAAAAGAAGAUAA
rnacentral:lncRNA from 1 species